CGAGCGAGCUUGCUAGAUGAUUUUAGUGCUUGCACUAAAUGAAACUAGAUACAAGCGAGCGGCGGACGGGUGAGUAACACGUGGGUAACCUGCCCAAGAGACUGGGAUGACACCUGGAAACAGAUGCUAAUACCGGAUAACAACACUAGACGCAUGUCUAGAGUUUGAAAGAUGGUUCUGCUAUCACUCUUGGAUGGACCUGCGGUGCAUUAGCUAGUUGGUAAGGUAACGGCUUACCAAGGCAAUGAUGCAUAGCCGAGUUGAGAGACUGAUCGGCCACAUUGGGACUGAGACACGGCCCAAACUCCUACGGGAGGCAGCAGUAGGGAAUCUUCCACAAUGGACGAAAGUCUGAUGGAGCAACGCCGCGUGAGUGAAGAAGGGUUUCGGCUCGUAAAGCUCUGUUGGUAGUGAAGAAAGAUAGAGGUAGUAACUGGCCUUUAUUUGACGGUAAUUACUUAGAAAGUCACGGCUAACUACGUGCCAGCAGCCGCGGUAAUACGUAGGUGGCAAGCGUUGUCCGGAUUUAUUGGGCGUAAAGCGAGUGCAGGCGGUUCAAUAAGUCUGAUGUGAAAGCCUUCGGCUCAACCGGAGAAUUGCAUCAGAAACUGUUGAACUUGAGUGCAGAAGAGGAGAGUGGAACUCCAUGUGUAGCGGUGGAAUGCGUAGAUAUAUGGAAGAACACCAGUGGCGAAGGCGGCUCUCAGGUCUGCAACUGACGCUGAGGCUCGAAAGCAUGGGUAGCGAACAGGAUUAGAUACCCUC
rnacentral:rRNA from 1 species